UCUGGCUCUGCUCUCCACUUCGGGACUUGUUCCCACCAGGAUCCAGUGAAAAGCGAAGGAGCAAAAAGAAUCACAAAGAACAGGCAACAUGGACCAGAGGUGGGGGUGAAGGUGGAGCUGCCAUGUCAAAUGGGGGACUGUGGGUGAUCACAAACGUUUCCAUAGAGAAAGCAAUGUCAGAACAAAGACUUAGGGAUGAAACACUGCUUGUCACUUGUAGCUGAGGGGCCAGAGAGUCCUGGGCAGAGUGACAUCUCAGGUGAAGGCACUGAGACAAAAGCAACCUCAGUCCCAGAAAAAGGAAAGAGGUGUGCGUGGCUGGAGCAGAGGGAGUGAGGAGGACACAGGCAGGAGAUGACCUCAGAGAGGUCCUGGAAGUGAAGAUCCCUAGGGACGAGGUCUUGAAACAUUUUUCUCCCACACCUCAAAAGAAUUUUGGAAAUGAUGUAUUUCCUCACUCCUUUCAUGUAUACAUGCAACUUUCUCUUUACAUUGUAAGUUACAACACUCACAAAUAGUGGAAUUUAUUUCCCAUAUUUAAAAUACAUGCUGUCAGUUUCAGCUAAGCUCCCAGAAGUACACUGUCGCCCUCAUCUGAGAGGUGUAGGACUGCAAGGGAAUGUGUUUGGGGGUUCAAGAAGUCACUUAUGACUUCUUGACACAUGAAGGUGGAGAUGCCUGUUUGAUGUCCCAGCAGAGAGCUGAAGAGACAACUGGACACAGAAUUGUGGAGCUCAGGGGCGAGGCCUGCAGGGGACGUGGAGUCAUACAGGCUCCAGAUGUUUCUGUAGAUAAUUUCAAGGAACAUGGCACCUGGGAUGUGACUGCCCUCAGCAUUCCUUCUGGUGGCAGAUUCAGUUGUCACCUUGCCAACUGCUUUCACAAGAACAGUUUGCUGUUUGCUCAUACAGCCUCCAAUGGUAUACUGAGUUGACAACCCUCAUUCCUUCAGUGUCCAACAUCUCCCCCUUUAUGUUUUUGCAUUAAUUGAAUAAAGGUAAUUCCAGGCUGUGCAA
rnacentral:lncRNA from 1 species